rnacentral:rRNA from 1 species
CAAACGGGUGAGUAACACGUAAACAACCUGCCUUCAGGAUGGGGACAACAGACGGAAACGACUGCUAAUACCGAAUACGUUCCACGGGCCGCAUGACCUGUGGAAAAAAGGGUAGCCUCUACCUGUAAGCUAUCGCCUGAAGAGGGGUUUGCGUCUGAUUAGGCAGUUGGUGGGGUAACGGCCCACCAAACCAACGAUCAGUAGCCGGUCUGAGAGGAUGAACGGCCACACUGGAACUGAGACACGGUCCAG